AUUGAACGCUGGCGGCAGGCCUAACACAUGCAAGUCGAGCGGAUGAGUGGAGCUUGCUCCAUGAUUCAGCGGCGGACGGGUGAGUAAUGCCUAGGAAUCUGCCUAUUAGUGGGGGACAACGUUUCGAAAGGAACGCUAAUACCGCAUACGUCCUACGGGAGAAAGCAGGGGACCUUCGGGCCUUGCGCUAAUAGAUGAGCCUAGGUCGGAUUAGCUAGUUGGUGAGGUAAUGGCUCACCAAGGCGACGAUCCGUAACUGGUCUGAGAGGAUGAUCAGUCACACUGGAACUGAGACACGGUCCAGACUCCUACGGGAGGCAGCAGUGGGGAAUAUUGGACAAUGGGCGAAAGCCUGAUCCAGCCAUGCCGCGUGUGUGAAGAAGGUCUUCGGAUUGUAAAGCACUUUAAGUUGGGAGGAAGGGUUGUACGUUAAUACCGUGCAAUUUUGACGUUACCGACAGAAUAAGCACCGGCUAACUCUGUGCCAGCCGCCGCCGUAAAAC
rnacentral:rRNA from 1 species